rnacentral:rRNA from 1 species
GGGAGGUAGUGACAAUAAAUAACAAUACGGGGUUCUUUCGGAUCUCGUAAUUGGAAUGAGUACAAUUUAAAUCUCUUAACGAGGAACAAUUGGAGGGCAAGUCUGGUGCCAGCAGCCGCGGUAAUUCCAGCUCCAAUAGCGUAUAUUAAAGUUGUUGCAGUUAAAAAGCUCGUAGUUGAAUUUCGGGAUCAGAUUGUCGGUCGUGCCUCGGUACGCACUGGCACUAUUGGUUCCUACCUUCUGAAGAACCGCGAUGUCAUUAAUUUGGUGUCGUGGGGAAUCAGGACUGUUACUUUGAAAAAAUUAGAGUGUUUAAAGCAGGCGCACGCUUGAAUACAUUAGCAUGGAAUAAUGAAAUAGGACGUUUGAUUCUAUUUUGUUGGUUUCUAGGAUCGACGUAAUGAUUAAUAGGGAUAGUUGGG